rnacentral:tRNA from 1 species
GUUUUAAUAGUUUAAAUAAAACAUUGGUCUUGUAAACCAAAAUUAAGAAAAUCUUUUAAAACU